UCCCAGGUGGUUCAGUGGGUAAACAAUCUGCUUGCAAUGCAGAAGAUGUGGGUUCGACCCCUGGCUUGGAAA
rnacentral:tRNA from 1 species